UACGGGGGGGGCAAGCGUUAAUCGGAAUUACUGGGCGUAAAGCGUGCGCAGGCGGUUUUGUAAGUCUGUCGUGAAAUCCCCGGGCUCAACCUGGGAAUUGCGAUGAAGACUGCAAGGCUUGAAUCUGGCAGAGGGGGGUAGAAUUCCACGUGUAGCAGUGAAAUGCGUAGAGAUGUGGAGGAACACCGAUGGCGAAGGCAGCCCCCUGGGUCAAGAUUGACGCUCAUGCACGAAAGCGUGGGGAGCAAACAGG
rnacentral:rRNA from 1 species